rnacentral:rRNA from 1 species
GACGAACGCUGGCGGCGUGCUUAACACAUGCAAGUCGAACGGAAAGGCCCUGCUUUUGUGGGGUGCUCGAGUGGCGAACGGGUGAGUAACACGUGAGUAACCUGCCCUUGACUUUGGGAUAACUUCAGGAAACUGGGGCUAAUACCGGAUAGGAUCUCCUGCUGCAUGGUGGGGGUUGGAAAGUUUCGGCGGUUGGGGAUGGACUCGCGGCUUAUCAGCUUGUUGGUGGGGUAGUGGCUUACCAAGGCUUUGACGGGUAGCCGGCCUGAGAGGGUGACCGGCCACAUUGGGACUGAGAUACGACCCAGACUCCAACGGGAGGCAACAGUGGGGAAUAUUGCACAAUGGGCGGAAGCCUGAUGCAACAACGCCGCGUGCGGGAUGACGGCCUUCGGGUUGUGAACCGCUUUCGCCUGUGACGAAGCGUGAGUGACGGUAAUGGGUAAAGAAGCACCGGCUAACUACGUG